GGUGGGGUGGCGGAGCGGCUGAACGCACCAGUCUUGAAAACUGGCAAGGGGCUCGUCCCCUUCGCGGGUUCGAAUCCCGCCCCCACCG
rnacentral:tRNA from 1 species